rnacentral:rRNA from 1 species
UGGGGAAUUUUGGACAAUGGGGGCAACCCUGAUCCAGCCAUCCCGCGUGUGCGAUGAAGGCCUUCGGGUUGUAAAGCACUUUUGGCAGGGAAGAAACAGCCUGGGAUAAUACCCCGGGCGACUGACGGUACCUGCAGAAUAAGCACCGGCUAACUACGUGCCAGCAGCCGCGGUAAUACGUAGGGUGCAAGCGUUAAUCGGAAUUACUGGGCGUAAAGCGUGCGCAGGCGGUUCGGAAAGAAAGGUGUGAAUCCAGACUACUGGAACUGCACUUUACUAUCCGAGCUAGAGUACGUCAGAGGGGGGUAGAAGGUUCCACGUGUAGCAGUGAAAUGCGUAGAGAUGUGGAGGAAUACCGAUGGCGAAGGCAGCCCCCUGGGAUGAUACUGACGCUCAUGCACGAAAGCGUGGGGAGCAAACAGGAUUAGAUACCCUGGUAGUCCACGCCCUAAACGAUGUCAACUAGCUGUUGGGGUUUAUUAACCUUAGUAGCGCAGCUAACGCGUGAAGUUGACCGCCUGGGGGAGUACGGUCGC